GCUGGCAUGGCUCAGUGGUUGAGUGCCGAGUUAUGAACCAGGAGGUCCCGGUUCGAUUCCUGGUGAGGGCA
rnacentral:tRNA from 1 species